rnacentral:rRNA from 1 species
CAGUAGCCGCGGGAAUACGUAGGGUGCGAGCGUUAAUCGGAAUUACUGGGCGUAAAGCGCACGUAGGCGGACUUUUAAGUCAGGGGUGAAAUCCCAAGGCUCAACCUUGGAACUGCCUUUGAUACUGGAAGUCUUGAGUUCGGGAGAGGUGAGUGGAACUGCGAGUGUAGAGGUGAAAUUCGUAGAUAUUCGCAAGAACACCAGUGGCGAAAGCGAGGUCCUGGACGUCUGCUGACGCUGAGACGCGAAAGCCAGGGGAGCGAACGGGAUUAGAUACCCCAGUAGUCCCUGUCUCUUAUAC